AUUGAACGCUGGCGGCAGGCUUAACACAUGCAAGUCGAGCGGAGAGAGGUAGCUUGCUACUGAUCUUAGCGGCGGACGGGUGAGUAAUGCUUAGGAAUCUGCCUAUUAGUGGGGGACAACAUUUCGAAAGGAAUGCUAAUACCGCAUACGUCCUACGGGAGAAAGCAGGGGAUCUUCGGACCUUGCGCUAAUAGAUGAGCCUAAGUCGGAUUAGCUAGUUGGUGGGGUAAAGGCCUACCAAGGCGACGAUCUGUAGCGGGUCUGAGAGGAUGAUCCGCCACACUGGGACUGAGACACGGCCCAGACUCCUACGGGAGGCAGCAGUGAGGAAUAUUGGUCAAUGGGCGCAAGCCUGAACCAGCCAUGCCGCGUGCAGGAAGACGGUCCUAUGGAUUGUAAACUGCUUUUAUACAGGAAGAAACAACGCUACGUGUAGUGAUUUGACGGUACCGUGAGAAUAAGGAUCGGCUAACUUCGUGCCAG
rnacentral:rRNA from 1 species